rnacentral:rRNA from 1 species
AGGUUAAGUUACAAAGGGCGCACGGUGGAUGCCUUGGCACUAGGAGCCGAUGAAGGACGGAACUAAUACCGAUAUGCUUCGGGGAGCUAUAAGUAAGCUUUGAUCCGGAGAUUUCCGAAUGGGGGAACCCAGUACACAUCAGUGUAUUGCUUGUCAGUGAAUACAUAGCUGGCCGGCGGCAGACGCGGGGAACUGAAACAUCUCAGUACCCGCAGGAAGAGAAAGAAAACUCGAUUCCCAUAGUAGCGGCGAGCGAAGUGGGAAGAGCCCAAACCGAGAAGCUUGCUUCUCGGGGUUGUAGGACUGGACAUUGGAGUUACCAAAGUCCGACGUAGUCGAAGUCAGCUGGAAAGCUGCGCCACAGAAGGUGAAAGCCCUGUAAGCGAAACGUCGAACCCUCCGUCCAGGAUCCUGAGUACGGCGGAACACGUGAAAUUCCGUCGGAAUCCGGGAGGACCAUCUCCCAAGGCUAAAUACUCCCUAGUGACCGAUAGUGAACCAGUACCGUGAGGGAAAGGUGAAAAGCACCCCGGAAGGGGAGUGAAACAGUUCCUGAAACCGUGUGCCUACAAUUAGUCAAAGCCCGUUAAUGGGUAAUGGCGUGCCUUUUGUAGAAUGAACCGGCGAGUUACGUUUGCUUGCGAGGUUAAGAUGAAAAGUCGGAGCCGUAGCGAAAGCGAGUCUGAACAGGGCGAAUGAGUAAGCAGAUGUAGACCCGAAACCAAGUGACCUACCCAUGACCAGGUUGAAGGUGUGGUGAAACACACUGGAGGACCGAACCCAUGUAUGUUGAAAAAUGCUGGGAUGAGUUGUGGGUAGCGGUGAAAUUCCAAACGAACUUGGAGAUAGCUGGUUCUCUCCGAAAUAGCUUUAGGGUUAGCCUCGGAGGAUGGAUCAUGGAGGUAGAGCACUGUUUGAACUAGGGGCCCAUCAAGGGUUACUGAAUUCAGAUAAACUCCGAAUACCAUCGAUCUUACUCCGGGAGUCAGACAGUGAGCGAUAAGGUCCAUUGUCGAAAGGGGAACAGCCCAGAUCACCAGUUAAGGUCCCUAAAUUUAUGCUAAGUGGAAAAGGAUGUGGCGUUGCACAGACAACUAGGAUGUUGGCUCAGAAGCAGCCACCAUUUAAAGAGUGCGUAAUAGCUCACUAGUCGAGUGGCACUGCGCCGAAAAUAUACCGGGGCUAAGCAUAAUACCGAAACUGUGGGUGCACCCGUAAGGGUGCGCGGUAGGAGAGCGUUCUAAGGGCGUUGAAGGUCGAUCGUGAGGACGGCUGGAGCGCUUAGAAGUGAGAAUGCCGGCAUGAGUAGCGAAAGAUCAGUGAGAAUCUGAUCCACCGUAUGACUAAGGUUUCCUGGGGAAGGCUCGUCCUCCCAGGGUUAGUCGGGAUCUAAGGCGAGGCCGAGAGGCGUAGUCGAUGACAAGCAGGUUGAGAUUCCUGCACUAGUUUAUUUUGUUUAAGCGAUGGAGGGACGCAGGAGGCUAAGGAAAGCGCACGGCUGGAAAUGUGCGCCCAAGCA